GGGGGGAGGCCGGAUCAUGGCCUGUGUCCCGGCGCCCUGUGCUCCCGGCCUGCACUGUUGGAUUCACGCUCCCGGCCCUGCAGCCCCCU
rnacentral:pre_miRNA from 1 species